GAAAUGUUGACCUCGGAUCAGGUAGGAAUACCCGCUGAACUUAAGCAUAUCAAAGCCCCGGAAGGAA
rnacentral:rRNA from 1 species